GUGCCUUCUAUUUACAUCAAUAUUAUAUUAGCAUACACCAUGUCACUGCUGGGAAUAUUAGUCUAUCGAUGCCACCUAAUAUAAUCCCUAUUAUGCCUAGAAGGCAUAAUACUAUCAUAAAUUUAUAAAUAAAUGUAUAAAUAUUAUUUAUCAUACUCAUAACUUUAAACUUACAUUUCACUCUAGCAUCUAUAAUACCCAUCAUUCUCCUAGUAUUUGCUGCCUGUGAAGCCGUAGUGGGCCUUGCCUUACUAGUUUCAAUCUCCAAUACAUAUGCUCUAGAUUACAUAC
rnacentral:lncRNA from 10 species